AAGAUACAGUAGAAGCAGGUCAAGCAUUUUCCCGGGUUAAAACACAGCCAUCGAGGAAGCCGAUGGGAGGUGCUGAUUCCAAAAGCCAGGGAAGAAGGACCAUUCACAGAAGCAGCAUCACACAACCAGCAAGGAGAGCUGCUUGUGCAUUGUACGUUUACGUGUGUUGAGUGUCUCUAAAAGCAGCCCUCCAGCCAUGCUCUGGCCAUAUCAGCUGGACUGUUUAUCACAAAUUCACAGAGUAGUGUCGUAUCUACAAUAAGCCAAAACAGACAGCCCCCAUUUCAGCUUAAAGUGGCUUUAAGUUGUAGACCAGAUGUCCAAAUGGAAACCAACUAAC